rnacentral:rRNA from 1 species
GACGAACGCUGGCGGCGUGCCUAAUACGUGCAAGUAGAACGCUGAAGGAGGAGCUUGCUUCUCUGGAUGAGUUGCGAACGGGUGAGUAACGCGUAGGUAACCUGCCUGGUAGCGGGGGAUAACUAUUGGAAACGAUAGCUAAUACCGCAUAAUAGCAGUUAUUGCAUGAUAACUGUUUAAAAGGUGCAAUUGCAUCACUACCAGAUGGACCUGCGUUGUAUUAGCUAGUUGGUGGGGUAACGGCUCACCAAGGCGACGAUACAUAGCCGACCUGAGAGGGUGAUCGGCCACACUGGGACUGAGACACGGCCCAGACUCCUACGGGAGGCAGCAGUAGGGAAUCUUCGGCAA